UCCAUUGUCGAUCCUUAUGAGAUCGCCUUGCUCUAGAGACCAUAAGUAUCUCGUGGCCCGCGUCCCUUAAACCCUCAACCCCGAGAGCCUUUCAGGCCUUCACCACCACCAAGAGAGCAGAGCGAAGAGCAGAGAAAACGAGAGUUCCGCGUCCUUCGACGAAAGUGUGGCCACGGUCGUCGGUGGGCCCUUUGGAUGGGCCAGGGUGCAUCAACAAAGGGUGUCGCGUGCAAUAGUGGCGCUGGUAGGGAAAGGAUACCAGCGGAGCCGUGGAUUCCUUGUCAUUGUUCGAUCAUCACCGUCGUCGGGGAAAUCUCGCAUAUAUCCUCGAUCAGGGCGCAUAGUGUGGCUUCAUAGCAUCACCGAGGCAUCGUGGAGUCGAUCAUGACGGUGGGUGGCACAGAGGAUCGCCAAGUAGAUGGGAAUUCCUCGUGGGGGCUUUUCCUUCGUCGCAGCGUCACCUCGUGACGUGGUCGGGGGCCCUGGCUACAAAAUCACGGAAGCAAGAUUAUGAGGAAUCUGAAGCCCAACUUUGGGAAAGCACCUGAGGAGUUGGAUUCACAAGUAAAAGAGGAGCCAGUAGCUGAGGAUCCUGGUGACCAGCAGAUAGAAGUUGUUGAGCAGGAGCUCAUUGAAGGCAAGUUGUGCCCUUGAUCACUUAUUUUUACCCAGUCAUGUUCUUAUUAAUCAUAAUGAUCUGCAUAGGUUAAUUUUGAUGGGACCCAAUAGGCCACCCUAGUCUGUUUAUACUUUUUACCUUGUUUACCCCUGAAUCACUUGGGUAGUUUUGCUACUGCUUUAUAUGGUUUUUGGUUCAAUAGUUCAUUACAUCUAUGUUCCAAUUAUGCUGUUAUGUUAUUUAUGUUCAUGAUAAGAUCAUUAUGUUAAUGAGAGCAUGGAGAACCACUCGAGAAAACGUGCCACCACAAGGAAGAAAUGGGACCCCUUGGCUAACUAAUUAGGAAAGCUAGUGGAAGACUACCUUACCCGAAAGGGGCAAGGGCAGUAGGGGAGUUGCAUGCAGGGAGGUUCUCGGGUUGAUUUUGCUGCGAUGGCGGUCAGACAGGGGAUUCUUGCAAAUGCUCUUCCCAUAAACUGUAGCGGGUUUUCUGAAGCUAGUGGAACUUUGUAAAGGCCUCAUAGUGUUACCCUGCCUCGCCUCCUCAGUAGAGGUGUAUGAGAUUGGCCGUCUCUUGGCAGAUGGGUAACAUG